UACGUAGGGUGCAAGCGUUGUCCGGAAUUAUUGGGCGUAAAGAGCUCGUGAGCGGUUUGUCGCGUCUGCUGUGAAAACCCGAGGCUCAACCUCGGGCCUGCAGUGGGUACGGGCAGACUAGAGUGCGGUAGGGGAGAUUGGAAUUCCUGGUGUAGCGGUGGAAUGCGCAGAUAUCAGGAGGAACACCAAUGGCGAAGGCAGAUCUCUGGGCCGUAACUGACGCUGAGGAGCGAAAGCAUGGGGAGCGAACAGG
rnacentral:rRNA from 1 species